rnacentral:misc_RNA from 1 species
GUUUGAACUCACUCGAAUAUUGAGGUAUUAUAUAGUCAAUCACAAGGCUUUUAAUAGAUUAGAAAUUUGGUCAAGUGACAAUCAAUCUUAUGAAACUCCAAAUGGUAGAAACGUACUUAAAUGAUAUUCGACUGUUCACUAAGCGACUAAUUAAGUUUAAAUUAAAUUUAGUUUUUGUAGUGAAUCACUCCGAUGAUCUAAUGCACAAAUACUCCUGCAGUUUUACUAUCCAGGGAGAACCUAUAUUUUUACUACAAUACUAGAUUUCUUUUAUUUUUUUUGAAGUUUGAAUGAAGUUCUGAAUGGAGGAUCUCAUAAUCUUAGAGAUGACUUCAAUACCACUCACUGAAAACUCAUUGUUCAUGGAC